CGUACACUCCUACGGGAGGCAGCAGUGGGGAAUAUUGCACAAUGGGCGCAAGCCUGAUGCAGCGACGCCGCGUGGGGGAUGAAGGCCUUCGGGUUGUAAACUCCUUUCGCUAGGGACGAAGCUUUUUUGUGACGGUACCUAGAUAAGAAGCACCGGCUAACUACGUGCCAGCAGCCGCGGUAAUACGUAGGGUGCGAGCGUUGUCCGGAAUUACUGGGCGUAAAGGGCUCGUAGGUGGUUUGUCGCGUCGUCUGUGAAAUUCUGGGGCUUAACUCCGGGCGUGCAGGCGAUACGGGCAUAACGUGAGUGCUGUAGGGGUAACUGGAAUUCCUGGUGUAGCGGUGAAAUGCGCAGAUAUCAGGAGGAACAUCGAUGGCGAAGGCAGGUUACUGGGCAGUUACUGACGCUGAGGAGCGAAAGCAUGGGUAGCGAACAGGAUUAGAUACCCGAGUAGUCCCAUGA
rnacentral:rRNA from 1 species